AGCAUCGCGAAGGCGGUCGAUGGCCACCAGCCAUUUCCGAUGAUCCGGCCAGGCAUGACGGGCGGCGAGGUCGUUUACUGCUUUGAUCCACAGAACGGCAUUAUCCUGGAAUCCUCGGAACUCCGGUAGUUCCGAUGCAAACGCUGAUGGUACUGUAGACUGCAAGGGUCCGGAGGUUCUCGCGGCGAAACGCCUACAGUGCGUAA
rnacentral:lncRNA from 1 species